rnacentral:rRNA from 1 species
AGCAGCCGCGGUAAUUCCAGCUCCAAUAGCGUAUAUUAAAGUUGUUGCAGUUAAAAGCUCGUAGUUGAAUUUCGGGGUUAGUAGAUUGGUCAUGCCACUGGUAUGUACUUGUCUUACCGAUUCCUCCUUCCUGAUGAACCGUAAUGCCAUUAACUUGGUGUUGCGGGGAGACUGGACUGUUACUUUGAAAAAUUAGAGUGUUUAAAGCAGGCUAACGCUUGAAUACAUUAGCAUGGAAUAAUGAAAUAGGACGUUCGAUCCUAUUUUGUUGGUUUUUAGGAUUGACGUAAUGAUUAAUAGGGAUAGUUGGGGGCAUUAGUAUUCAAUUGUCAGAGGUGAAAUUCUUGGAUUUAUUGAAGACUAACUACUGCGAAAGCAUUUGCCAAGGAUGUUUUCAUUAAUCAAGAACGAAAGUUAGGGGAUCGAAGACGAUCAGAUACCGUCGUAGUC